rnacentral:rRNA from 1 species
GGCUCAGGAUGAACGCUAGCUACAGGCUUAACACAUGCAAGUCGAGGGGAAACGAUAUUGGAAGCUUGCUUCUGAUAGGCGUCGACCGGCGCACGGGUGAGUAACGCGUAUCCAACCUGCCCAUCACUUGGGGAUAACCUUGUGAAAGUAAGACUAAUACCCAAUGACGUCUCUAGAAGACAUCUGAAAGAGAUUAAAGAUUUAUCGGUGAUGGAUGGGGAUGCGUCUGAUUAGCUUGUUGGCGGGGUAACGGCCCACCAAGGCGACGAUCAGUAGGGGUUCUGAGAGGAAGGUCCCCCACAUUGGAACUGAGACACGGUCCAAACUCCUACGGGAGGCAGCAGUGAGGAAUAUUGGUCAAUGGACGAGAGUCUGAACCAGCCAAGUAGCGUGCAGGAAGACGGCCCUAUGGGUUGUAAACUGCUUUUAUAAGGGAAUAAAGUGAGUCUCGUGAGACUUUUUGCAUGUACCUUAUGAAUAAGGACCGGCUAAUUCCGUG